GACGUAGGUGGCGAACGUUAUCCGGAAUUAUUGGGCGUAAAGGGUGCGUAGAUGGUUUGAUAAGUUAGUGGUGGGAAAUCGAGGCUCAACCUCGUGGAAGUCACUAAUACUAUCAAACUAGAGUGCAGGAGAGGUUAACGGAACUCCAUGUGUAGCGGUAAAAUGCGACGAUAUAUGGAUGAACACCAAUAACGGCGAAGGCAGUUAACUAUUCUGCUACUGACAUUGAGGCAUGAAAGCGUGGGGAGCAAAACGG
rnacentral:rRNA from 1 species